UACAGAGGGGGCAAGCGUUAUUCGGAUUCAUUGGGCGUAAAGGGUGCGUAGGUGGCGCCGUAAGUCGGGUGUGAAAUUUCGGAGCUUAACUCCGAAACUGCAUUCGAUACUGCGGUGCUUGAGGACUGGAGAGGAGACUGGAAUUCAUGGUGUAGCAGUGAAAUGCGUAGAGAUCAUGAGGAAGACCAGUGGCGAAGGCGGGUCUCUGGACAGUUCCUGACACUGAGGCACGAAGGCCAGGGGAGCAAACGGG
rnacentral:rRNA from 1 species